rnacentral:tRNA from 1 species
AGCCGCGGUAGGUGGGCGGCAGGCGCGACUGCUUGGGGUAGCCGGCGGCGUCGAGGUAGCCGCGCCAUUCGGCCUCCGAAUAGCCGCGCAGCUGC